rnacentral:rRNA from 1 species
GCUAGUAAUCGCGGAUCAGCAUGCCGCGGUGAAUACGUUCCCGGGCCUUGUACACACCGCCCGUCACACCAUGAGAGUCGGGAACACCCGAAGUCCGUAGUCUAACCGCAAGGGGGACGCGGCCGAAGGUGGGUUCGAUAAUUGGGGUGAAGUCGUAACAAGGUAUC